AUGGCCCAGAAAUGUGAAGCUCUGUGGAUGCUGCGUGUCCCCGGCCGUGGGGAGAACGUGGGGUGGGGGGCCCCCUUGCCUUGGCCUCAACUGCCUGCCCCCUGCCCCUCUGCCUCCUGCCUUUCGCCGCGGGAGCCUGGAGCCUUCCAGGAACACUGCCCCAGGGAAGAGGACCCAGGGAGCCCCCUCGACCCUGGAUGGCCCCAGAUGGCAUCGGGACUCUCCUCCUCCCCCAGGAAAAACGGCACCGGGGCUCAGGACGGUUUUGCCUGGGCCCGGUCAGUUCUCAGAACAGGGCUCGCAAAUAGGACUUCAUUUCCUAAGUUAAGGAAGGGGUUGGAAAUAAAUGCUGGGGAGGGGUGUCGUCUUCACAGGGUGGACGGAGGACCGCCGGCCUGCUGUUCAGUUGCAAGGUCAGCAUCCCCGGCCCUCAGUCAACCCUUUCCCAGGCGUGGUUGGGGGCCGGGGGGGCUCCUCUCUCGGCAGAUCCUGUUGCAGGGGGUGGGGUGGGUAGAGACCACUGGCCCGCGAGAGGAGCCUGGAGGCGGCCGGGCCGCGGCCCANNNNNNNNNNGCAGGCCUGAGCCCAGUCCUAGGGAGGCACCCCCCCACCCCACCCACAAGAGACCCCACUCCCAGUGUACAGCUGCUUUUUACCAGAAAAACGGUGCACUUGAAGCCUCAAGUCGGCCUCCCACAACCAGGUGAUUUGAUUCGUCCGAACCCAUGUCCCAUCUCUGCUCAUUUUGAGACCCUGACGAGCCGACUCCGCUGGCCGCCCCGGGAGGCCCGCCGGGAGGGCUCAGCUGUGCGCUGUUUGCCUCGUGUUUGCUGCCCAGAAGCUGACUCUGAGGAGGUGUCCCUUGGGAUCCCCUCCCCAGGGGGCACUGGAGGACAGCUGGCAGCCACUGCUGGGUCGCCUCAAAGUGGGCCCAGGAGGCGGGAGUUGGGGGGCAGCACGGGGAAAGCUCGUGAAGGGUCGGCGCCCUCUUAUCUGUUUACACUCAAGUUGUCAAGUCUCUCUAAGUGGGCAUUACGGCUGCUUCUACGGUGGCCCUGUUGCUCUGCUGUGAAUUGCUGGUUCUCCAGGGCGCCCAUUCCGCCCCAGCUCAGCAUCACUGAACCAUCUUGA
rnacentral:lncRNA from 1 species